rnacentral:lncRNA from 1 species
CUCACCUGCCCCUGCCCACGUCCCCUCACCUGGCUCCCUGACUCCUGACCCCCGCCCGCCUGGCCAUGACCCUGUGUCCAUGUGACACUUCCCAUCACAAGUUUACACCGGUAAAACCUGUCGGGCAGGUCUCAGAGGUCCGCGAUUCAGCUGGUUUAGCCCCGUGCUGGUUUCCAAGAAGCCUAAGGUUUGACCAGCUUUUGAGACCCAUUUUCAUAUUGAAGAGCUGUUAAGGAAACAACUGAGAGGUAUAUUUAGUUUUAAACACUGGUUAACAACAUAUUUUCCUUAAUCUUUUUCUCAGACGACUAUUCACCUGAAACAAGCCAUACAGCAGGGAACUUCUGACCUGAAUGUUAAAUUCUGGCAAAGAAAUAUCCACUGCUAGUAGAUUUUGCCAAAGAAAAUUUCCAUCCACCCUCAUUAUAGAUGUGGAUAUUUCAAAAAAAAAAAAAAAAACCUAAAUUCCACACUAAAGAAAGUAGCUGUAAUAACAACACUUGAAAAUUCAGUUAUGUAAUUAAUUAUCAAAUACAAACAGGAUGGUUUCCUUUCUCUGGGCUUGGCCUAACAAUAUGUAGCAUUCCUAUGGUGAAAAUGAUUAUCUAUCCAUCUGAACUUUUAAUAUUUUAAUUUCUUAUCAGGAUUUAUCAGAAGGUAAAAAUUUACACUUCUUCUGCUGAUGGAGUGAUUUUUUCUCACUAUAAACAAGAAAUAUGGAGUGUACAAACUGUAGGUAAUGCAACAUCCCUUUGAGAAUAUCCUUCUGGGCAUUGGUCACUGCCAGCAAAAAUUGAUUUCAGACAAGAGAAAUAUAAUUAUCCCCAUUAAAAAUCUAUACAAUUAACAACACUUGCCACACUGGAGUCUAGGUUACCAUGGUACUGCUCUAUCUCUAGAGUAGGAAAUAACUGUGGUAUAUCAAAUUCCGUCUCAUGGUAAUUGUUGCUUUUUUACUGACCACCCAUGUAGCAUUAAAAGUCUCCUGCUCAACUAAUUCACCUAUUUUAAAGCAUAUUAUGGCUAUAUUUAUUCUCCAUUUCACCUCAAAUCACUAGUGCUUCAAGUACAUAAUGCUGGGUUUUGAAAUACCCCAGAACAUAUAUUUAUGUGAUGAGUAGGAAAGAGGCAUUGAAGGUUGAGGAGAAAAAUGGAAAAGAAACAUAUUGGGGGCAUGGGGUUCAGGGGAGUGUCUGAGGUGCCUCUGUGCAGCAUAAGAGAGAUGGGAAAGG